AUUGAACGCUGGCGGCAUGCCUUACACAUGCAAGUCGAACGGCAGCACGGGUGCUUGCACCUGGUGGCGAGUGGCGAACGGGUGAGUAAUACAUCGGAACGUACCUUAUCGUGGGGGAUAACGCAGCGAAAGCUGUGCUAAUACCGCAUACGCCCUGAGGGGGAAAGCGGGGGAUCGCAAGACCUCGCGCGAUUAGAGCGGCCGAUGCCUGAUUAGCUUGUUGGUGGGGUAAAAGCCCACCAAGGCGACGAUCAGUAGCUGGUCUGAGAGGACGAUCAGCCACACUGGGACUGAGACACGGCCCAGACUCCUACGGGAGGCAGCAGGGGGGGAUUUUGGACAAUGGGGGCAGCCCUGAUCCAGCAAUGCCGCGUGAGUGAAGAAGGCCUUCGGGUUGUAAGGCUCUUUUGUCAGGGAAGAAACACCGGCUCUAACACAGUCCGGGAAUGACGGUACCUGAAGAAUAAGCACCGGCUAACUACGUGCCAGCCGCCGCCGUAA
rnacentral:rRNA from 1 species